UACGGAGGGUGCGAGCGUUGUUCGGAAUUACUGGGCGUAAAGGGCUCGUAGGCGGCCGGCUAAGUCCGACGUGAAAUCCCCAGGCUUAACCUGGGAACUGCGUCGGAUACUGGCGGGCUUGAAUCCGGGAGAGGGAUGCGGAAUUCCAGGUGUAGCGGUGAAAUGCGUAGAUAUCUGGAGGAACACCGGUGGCGAAGGCGGCAUCCUGGACCGGCAUUGACGCUGAAUAGCGAAAGCCAGGGGAGCAAACGGG
rnacentral:rRNA from 1 species